rnacentral:piRNA from 1 species
UGUCAGUAUUCACCAGGAACUUGGUUUGU